rnacentral:lncRNA from 1 species
GCCACGCCCACUCCUACGCGAAUCCACAACUCCCAUUGGCCGCUGUCCCCCCAGGCCACGCCCACCCCCACCCCAAACCACGCCCCCUUUUCCUUGGCCACGCCCCCGAGCCAUCUAAGGCCACGCCCACCCCAAGGCCACGCCCACUCCUACUCGAAACCACGCCCCCACGUUCCCAUUGGCCACUGUCCCUCAGGCCACGCCCACACGCGCUCUAAACCACGCCCCCUUCUCCUUGGCCACGCCCCCGAGUCACCCAAGCCACGCCCACACCCCAGGCCACGCCCACUCCUACUCCAAUCCACGCCCCCCAUUGGCCAGUGUCCCCCUCAGGCCACGCCCACACCCACUCUAAACCACGCCCCCUUCUCCCUUGGCCACGCCCCCAAGUCAUCUAAGCCACGCCCACACCUCCAGGCCACGCCCACUCCUACUCGAAACCACACCCCCCACGCUCUCUCAAUUCCCAUUGGCCACUGUCCCUCAGGCCACGCCCACACCCGCUCUAAACCACGCCCUUCUCCUUGGCCACGCCCACUUUUUCCUAAGCCACGCCCACGCCCUCAGGCCACGCCCACUCCUACUCGAAACUACGCCCCCACGUUCCCAUUGGCCACUGUCCCCCCAGGCCACCCCUACGCCCGCUGUAAGCCACGCCCCUUCUCCUUGGCCACGCCCCCUGAGCCACCUAACCCACGCCCACCCCCAGGCCACGCCCACUCCUACGCGAAUCCACGCCUCCCAUUGGCCAGUGCCCCCCAGGCCACGCCCACACCCACCCUAAACCACGCCCCGUUCGCCUUGGCCGCGCCCCGUCACCCAAAGCCACGCCCACACCUGCUCGAAACUACGCCCCCUUGUUUCCCAUUGGCCACGCCCACCCUCGCACAGCUCCCAUUGGCCACUCUGCCCACACCCACCCUAAGCCACGCCCCGAAGAAACCUUGGCCACGCCCCCUCCUCCCAUUGGCCACUCUCCCCCCUUCCCGAUCGGUCUCGGCCAUUCCCUCGCCUCCCAUUGGUCACUCUCCCCGUCACUCAUUUCGAUCUUGGCCACGCCCCCUCCUCCCAUUGGCUACUUCCCCCAGGCCCGGCCACAACGCGGAAGUGGCACCUGGGUCCGGCGGCACGUGGGGAACAGCGCUGCCCCAUAGAUCCUGCCCCAUAGGUCCUGACCCAUAG